GCAAGGCUUACCUACACCAUUCCAUUCUUCAUUAAAUUAUGAAAUCAUUCUGAUGGUCCUUUGGCUCACAACCAGUCUUCUUGCAGGUGUUUGGUUCAGAGGGGGCUGUGAGGCCUCCAGAUGCUUUGAAAGGCCCCCCUGGCUCACCCUGGGGCUGGAGGAAGGCAGACUUUGACGGAGAGGAGAUCCAGGGAGUUGGCACCUGGAGCAAUGGCAGGGCUCUGAGGCACUAUUCAGUGGUCUUACCCCGCUUCUGCUGCGCUGAUGAAGCAAAAAUAAACUUCCUGUACUUAGACAGAUUUUAAACAUUUUUUUCUACAAGACAGAAACCAGAUGGAAUAUUUUCACAGCUGACACCAAAAUUCGCAGUUUUCGUGACUUCAGUGAUAUU
rnacentral:lncRNA from 1 species